rnacentral:rRNA from 1 species
UGCGACAGGCUUAACACAUGCAAGUCGAGGGGCAGCACAGGUAGCAAUACCGGGUGGCGACCGGCGCACGGGUGAGUAACGCGUAUGCAACUUACCUAUCAGAGGGGGAUAACCCGGCGAAAGUCGGACUAAUACCGCAUGAAGCAGGGGCCCCGCAUGGGGAUAUUUGCUAAAGAUUCAUCGCUGAUAGAUAGGCAUGCGUUCCAUUAGGCAGUUGGCGGGGUAACGGCCCACCAAACCGACGAUGGAUAGGGGUUCUGAGAGGAAGGUCCCCCACAUUGGUACUGAGACACGGACCAAACUCCUACGGGAGGCAGCAGUGAGGAAUAUUGGUCAAUGGCCGAGAGGCUGAACCAGCCAAGUCGCGUGAGGGAUGAAGGUUCUAUGGAUCGUAAACCUCUUUUAUAAGGGAAUAAAGUGCGGGACGUGUCCCGUUUUGUAUGUACCUUAUGAAUAAGGAUCGGCUAACUCCGUGCCAGCAGCCGCGGUAAUACGGAGGAUCCGAGCGUUAUCCGGAUUUAUUGGGUUUAAAGGGUGCGUAGGCGGCCUUUUAAGUCAGCGGUGAAAGUCUGUGGCUCAACCAUAGAAUUGCCGUUGAAACUGGGGGGCUUGAGUAUGUUUGAGGCAGGCGGAAUGCGUGGUGUAGCGGUGAAAUGCAUAGAUAUCACGCAGAACCCCGAUUGCGAAGGCAGCCUGCCAAGCCAUGACUGACGCUGAUGCACGAAAGCGUGGGGAUCAAACAGGAUUAGAUACCCUGGUAGUCCACGCAGUAAACGAUGAUCACUAGCUGUUUGCGAUACACAGUAAGCGGCACAGCGAAAGCGUUAAGUGAUCCACCUGGGGAGUACGCCGGCAACGGUGAAACUCAAAGGAAUUGACGGGGGCCCGCACAAGCGGAGGAACAUGUGGUUUAAUUCGGUGAUACGCGAGGAACCUUACCCGGGUUUGAACGCAUUCGGACCGAGGUGGAAACACCUUUUCUAGCAAUAGCCGUUUGCGAGGUGCUGCAUGGUUGUCGUCAGCUCGUGCCGUGAGGUGUCGGCUUAAGUGCCAUAACGAGCGCAACCCUUGCCACUAGUUACUAACAGGUAAAGCUGAGGACUCUGGUGGGACUGCCAGCGUAAGCUGCGAGGAAGGCGGGGAUGACGUCAAAUCAGCACGGCCCUUACAUCCGGGGCGACACACGUGUUACAAUGGCGUGGACAAAGGGAGGCCACCUGGCGACAGGGAGCGAAUCCCCAAACCACGUCUCAGUUCGGAUCGGAGUCUGCAACCCGACUCCGUGAAGCUGGAUUCGCUAGUAAUCGCGCAUCAGCCAUGGCGCGGUGAAUACGUUCCCGGGCCUUGUACACACCGCCCGUCAAGCCAUGGGAGCCGGGGGUACCUGAAGUCCGUAACCGCGAGGAUCGGCCUAGGGUAAAACUGGUGACUGGGGCUA